rnacentral:rRNA from 1 species
ACGGGUGAGUAAUGUCUGGGGAUCUGCCCGAUAGAGGGGGAUAACCACUGGAAACGGUGGCUAAUACCGCAUAACGUCGCAAGACCAAAGAGGGGGACCUUCGGGCCUCUCACUAUCGGAUGAACCCAGAUGGGAUUAGCUAGUAGGCGGGGUAACGGCCCACCUAGGCGACGAUCCCUAGCUGGUCUGAGAGGAUGACCAGCCACACUGGAACUGAGACACGGUCCAGACUCCUACGGGAGGCAGCAGUGGGGAAUAUUGCACAAUGGGCGCAAGCCUGAUGCAGCCAUGCCGCGUGUAUGAAGAAGGCCUUCGGGUUGUAAAGUACUUUCAGCGGGGAGGAAGGCGAUAAGGUUAAUAACCUUGUCGAUUGACGUUACCCGCAGAAGAAGCACCGGCUAACUCCGUGCCAGCAGCCGCGGUAAUACGGAGGGUGCAAGCGUUAAUCGGAAUUACUGGGCGUAAAGCGCACGCAGGCGGUCUGUUAAGUCAGAUGUGAAAUCCCCGGGCUUAACCUGGGAACUGCAUUUGAAACUGGCAGGCUUGAGUCUCGUGGAGGGGGGUAGAAUUCCAGGUGUAGC